rnacentral:rRNA from 1 species
GACGAACGCGGGCGGCGUGCUUAACACAUGCAAGUCGAACGAUGAAGCCUAGCUUGCUAGGUGGAUUAGUGGCGAACGGGUGAGUAAUACGUGAGUAACCUACCUUUAACUCUGGGAUAAGCCUGGGAAACUGGGUCUAAUACCGGAUACGACCAAUCUCCGCAUGGGGUGUUGGUGGAAAGCGUUAUGUAGUGGUUAUAGAUGGGCUCACGGCCUAUCAGCUUGUUGGUGAGGUAACGGCUCACCAAGGCGACGACGGGUAGCCGGCCUGAGAGGGUGACCGGCCACACUGGGACUGAGACACGGCCCAGACUCCUACGGGAGGCAGCAGUGGGGAAUAUUGCACAAUGGGCGCAAGCCUGAUGCAGCGACGCCGCGUGAGGGAUGACGGCCUUCGGGUUGUAAACCUCUGUUAGCAGGGAAGAAGAGAGAUUGACGGUACCUGCAGAGAAAGCGCCGGCUAACUACGUGCCAGCAGCCGCGGUAAUACGUAGGGCGCGAGCGUUGUCCGGAAUUAUUGGGCGUAAAGAGCUUGUAGGCGGUUUGUCGCGUCUGCUGUGAAAGGCCGGAGCUUAACUCCGUGUAUUGCAGUGGGUACGGGCAGACUAGAGUGCAGUAGGGGAGACUGGAAUUCCUGGUGUAGCGGUGGAAUGCGCAGAUAUCAGGAGGAACACCGAUGGCGAAGGCAGGUCUCUGGGCUGUAACUGACGCUGAGAAGCGAAAGCAUGGGGAGCGAACAGG